UCUGGGCCUCGGCCUCCCCACGUGUAGACAGGGAGGGAGGACCCAACGACCUGCGGUGGCUUUCAGGCCGCACGCCUUAGGUGUACCUGAGGUGCACCGGUGGCGAAGUAGGGGCCACGUCUGCCCUGUCCCCCAAGAUCGGCCCCCUGGGUCUGUCUCCAAAAAAGGUUGGUGAUGA